rnacentral:rRNA from 1 species
AACGAACGCUGGCGGCAUGCCUAACACAUGCAAGUCGAACGAGACCUUCGGGUCUAGUGGCGCACGGGUGCGUAACGCGUGGGAACCUGCCUUUAGGUUCGGAAUAACUCAGAGAAAUUUGAGCUAAUACCGGAUGAUGUCUUCGGACCAAAGAUUUAUCGCCUUUAGAUGGGCCCGCGUUGGAUUAGCUAGUUGGUGGGGUAAAGGCCUACCGAGGCGACGAUCCAUAGCUGGUCUGAGAGGAUGAUCAGCCACACUGGGACUGAGACACGGCCCAGACUCCUACGGGAGGCAGCAGUGGGGAAUAUUGGACAAUGGGCGAAAGCCUGAUCCAGCAAUGCCGCGUGAGUGAUGAAGGCCUUAGGGUUGUAAAGCUCUUUUACCCGAGAUGAUAAUGACAGUAUCGGGAGAAUAAGCUACGGCUAACUCCGUG